CUAAAAGAUGAGGGUGCGGAACAUUAGUUAGUUGGUGAGGUAAUGGCCCACCAAGACUAUGAUGUUUAGCCGGGUCGAGAGACUGAACGGCCACAUUGGGACUGAGAUACGGCCCAAACUCCUACGGGAGGCAGCAGUAGGGAAUAUUCCACAAUGAGCGAAAGCUUGAUGGAGCGACACAGCGUGCACGAUGAAGGUCUUCGGAUUGUAAAGUGCUGUUAUAAGGGAAGAACAUUUGCAAUAGGAAAUGAUUGCAGACUGACGGUACC
rnacentral:rRNA from 1 species